AUUGCAAGUCGAACGAGUUCUCGUUGAUGAUCGGUGCUUGCACCGAGAUUCAACAUGGGAACGAGUGGCGGACGGGUGAGUAACACGUGGGUAACCUGCCCUUAAGUGGGGGAUAACAUUUGGAAACAGAUGCUAAUACCGCAUAGAUCCAAGAACCGCAUGGUUCUUGGCUGAAAGAUGGCGUAAGCUAUCGCUUUUGGAUGGACCCGCGGCGUAUUAGCUAGUUGGUGAGGUAAUGGCUCACCAAGGCGAUGAUACGUAGCCGAACUGAGAGGUUGAUCGGCCACAUUGGGACUGAGACACGGCCCAAACUAAUACGGGAGGCAGCAGUAGGGAAUCUUCCACAAUGGACGCAAGUCUGAUGGAGCAACGCCGCGUGAGUGAAGAAGGCUUUCGGGUCGUAAAACUCUGUUGUUGGAGAAGAAUGGUCGGCAGAGUAACUGUUGUCGGCGUGACGGUAUCCAACCAGAAAGCCACGGCUAACUACGUGCCAGCAGCCGCGGUAAUACGUAGGUGGCAAGCGUUAUCCGGAUUUAUUGGGCGUAAAGCGAGCGCAGGCGGUUUUUUAAGUCUGAUGUGAAAGCCCUCGGCUUAACCGAGGAAGCGCAUCGGAAACUGGGAAACUUGAGUGCAGAAGAGGACAGUGGAACUCCAUGUGUAGCGGUGAAAUGCGUAGAUAUAUGGAAGAACACCAGUGGCGAAGGCGGCUGUCUGGUCUGUAACUGACGCUGAGGCUCGAAAGCAUGGGUAGCGAACAGGAUUAGAUACCCUGGUAGUCCAUGCCGUAAACGAUGAAUGCUAGGUGUUGGAAGGUUUCCGCCCUUCAGUGCCGCAGCUAACGCAUUAAGCAUUCCGCCUGGGGAGUACGACCGCCAGGUUGAAACUCCAAGGAAAUAAACGGGGGCCCGCACAAGCGGGGGAGCAUGUGGUUUAAUUCUAAGCACGGCAAAAAACCUUACCAGGUCUGGACUUUUUUUGAUCCCUGUAAGAAUAGGUUUCCCCUUUUGGGGCAAAAGACAAGUGGUGAUUGGGU
rnacentral:rRNA from 1 species